rnacentral:rRNA from 1 species
UACGAACGCUGGCGGCGUGCUUAACACAUGCAAGUCGAACGCUGAAGCUCAGCUUUUGUUGGGUGGAUGAGUGGCGAACGGGUGAGUAACACGUGAGUAACCUGCCUCCUUCUUUGGGAUAACGCCCGGAAACGGGUGCUAAUACUGGAUAUUCACUGGUCUUCGCAUGGGGGUUGGUGGAAAGGGUUUUUCUGGUGGGGGAUGGGCUCGCGGCCUAUCAGCUUGUUGGUGGGGUGAUGGCCUACCAAGGCUUUGACGGGUAGCCGGCCUGAGAGGGUGACCGGUCACAUUGGGACUGAGAUACGGCCCAGACUCCUACGGGAGGCAGCAGUGGGGAAUAUUGCACAAUGGGCGCAAGCCUGAUGCAGCGACGCCGCGUGAGGGAUGGAGGCCUUCGGGUUGUGAACCUCUUUCGCUCAUGGUCAAGCCGCAACAAUGGUUGUGGUGAGGGUAGUGGGUAAAGAAGCGCCGGCUAACUACGUG